CCAAUGUGGAUACCCUGGGAGGUCACUCUCCCCUGGCUCUGUCCAGGAGCCGUAGGGGAGCACAGGGCUCUGCCCUGUGAUGUGUCCUUUCCACAGUGUUGGAGAGAAAGCCAGGCCUGGAGUCUGCACCUGCAUAUUCUACAGCUUCUCAGAGUCUUUGGGAUGAUGACUGAGACAAACCAUGCAGGAAACAUCU